AACGAACGCUGGCGGCAGGCUUAACACAUGCAAGUCGAACGCCCCGCAAGGGGAGUGGCAGACGGGUGAGUAACGCGUGGGAAUCUACCGUACCCUACGGAAUAACGCAUGGAAACGUGUGCUAAUACCGUAUGCGCCCUACGGGGGCAAGAUUUAUCGGGGUAUGAUGAGCCCGCGUUGGAUUAGCUAGUUGGUGGGGUAAAGGCCUACCAAGGCGACGAUCCAUAGCUGGUCUGAGAGGAUGAUCAGCCACAUUGGGACUGAGACACGACCCAAACUCCUACGGGAGGCAGCAGUGGGGAAUAUUGGACAAUGGGCGCAAGCCUGAUCCAGCCAUGCCGCGUGAGUGAUGAAGGCCCUAGGGUUGUAAAGCUCUUUCACCGAUGAAGAUAAUGACGGUAGUCGGAGAAGAAGCCCCGGCUAACUUCGUGCCAGCCGCCGCCGUAAGAC
rnacentral:rRNA from 1 species